CAUGGCUCAGAUUGAACGCUGGCGGCAUGCCUAACACAUGCAAGUCGAACGCGAAAGAGGGGCAACUCUUGAGUAGAGUGGCGGACGGGUGAGAAAUGCGUAGGAAUCUGCCUUGAAGUGGGGGAUAACUCGGGGAAACUCGGGCUAAUACCGCAUAACCUCCUCAGCAAUGAGGAGCAAAGGGGCCUUGUAGCAAUACAAGGUUUCGCUUUGAGAUGAGCUUACGUCGGAUUAGCUAGUUGGUAGGGUAAUGGCCUACCAAGGCAACGAUCCGUAGCUGGUUUGAGAGAACGACCAGCCACACUGGAACUGAGACACGGUCCAGACUCCUACGGGAGGCAGCAGUGGGGAAUAUUGGACAAUGGGGGAAACCCUGAUCCAGCAAUGCCGCGUGUGCGAUGAAGGCCUGCGGGUUGUAAAGCACUUUCG
rnacentral:rRNA from 1 species